rnacentral:rRNA from 1 species
UACGUAGGGGGCAAGCGUUGUCCGGAAUCAUUGGGCGUAAAGCGCACGUAGGCGGUCCAGUAAGUCGGGUGUGAAAGCCCUCGGCUCAACCGAGGAAGUGCAUUCGAAACUGCUGAACUUGAGUAUGGAAGAGGGUCGCGGAAUUCCCGGUGUAGAGGUGAAAUUCGUAGAUAUCGGGAGGAACACCAGUGGCGAAGGCGGCGACCUGGGCCAAUACUGACGCUGAGGUGCGAAAGCGUGGGGAGCAAACAGG